rnacentral:misc_RNA from 1 species
AUUUGGCGUACUUGAUGUGAGAGUGCGAAUGAUUUGAUUAUUGGGGAUUGCGGUUGUUCACUAAUUAAAUUUGAAACAGUGGUUAGUGGGGAAAGCGAAAUUUUUAUUGAACAAAUUAUUGAACCAGUCACCCUGGUUGGAGUGGUUUUGAGGUCGAUCUGUCAACGUAUAUGAUGGAUUCUCAGAAGUUUUGCCUCAAGUGGGAUGGGUUCCAGAGCAGCGUCACCUCCGUGUUUGACCACCUGCGGCGGGACGGUGAGCUGGUGGACAUCACACUAUGCUGUGAGGGACAGCGUGUCAAGGCGCACAGGAUGAUGCUGUCAGCCUGCAGCCCUUACUUCAGGGAGCUGCUCAAGGACAACCCCUGCCAACAAAUGGUGUUCUUCCUGAAGGAUACAAGCGCAGAGGACCUGUCUGCCAUCAUUGAGUUCAUGUAUAAGGGCAGCGUGAACGUCAGUCAGACGCAGCUGGCCAGCUUCAUCAGGACGGCAGAGAUGCUGCAGAUUAAAGGACUCAGUGGAGAUGAGGAAAAGAUGCCGCCGUCACCAACUACCCACCAGAGCCCCGGACGCGCCGCGUCUCACGAGCCUCGACCCAUGGCCGCCUCCACGCCUCAGAGACCUCACCGAAACGGAACACCACCGGCUAAGAGAAGGAGAGCCUCAGAAACGGUUACCGAGACACCUCCCCACCAACCACCGUCGUCACAGCCGCCAUCAACACCAUCACAACAGUCGAACGUACUACCGCAGAACCCUCCAAGAAUGCCGUCGUCACAGCCUAGCCCUCCUCCAAGCUCUUCCACGCCGCUCGCCGCUUCAUCAAACCCAGCAUCGGCCCCAGUACAGACCCCUGCGGGACACCCCACGGAAGGGGGACAAGCGAUUGCUGAGGAGAGCAUCAAAGUGGAAAAGGUGGACCUGACUGAAGAGGAGGAUGACGAUGCUACCCUGGACUCGACGCUGGAUUAUGUGGCCGAUUAUGAGGGCGGAUACAGAGAUGGGCCCGAUCUGUCCAUGGCAGACGCUGCGGCCAUCAUGGGCGGAGGAGGCGGCGGGGGCGUGGCAGGGCCCUCUCAGCGACCCCCGGACGACGGCUCCCAGUCAGGUAAGGGCCGGCCUUGCCCAGACUGUGGGCGAAUCUACAAACACAGCGGCUCCCUGAUGCUGCACAGGAAGGUGCACCAAGGGUUGACCACGUGUCCGAUAUGUGGCAGCGUCAACAACCGCGUCGCAGACCUUCGCAGCCACAUGCGUACCGUACACAAGCUCACCAGGGAAGAAGUCAAGGCGAUGGUGCCCAGUGACCGCUGGCGAUUGAACAGGGUGCCAAGUCGGGAACAGCCUCCGGAUCAGUGAAAAGGUUGGCAGUGACAGGCGACAGCAGUGGAGGAGCCGUCAGUGGCAUUAGUGAAUAUGACACCAAUGGUGUCAGUGAACGAACAGACAGUGGCAGCAGCGAAUGAUGCUAUGUUGGUGGUAUCGUUAGCGUUAGGGCUAGCUUUGUGAUGCGGACUUAGAAGAACCGAUGACGGUGUGCAAGUUUUGUUUUGCACCAGGUGUUGAGAUCUUGCUAACGAGAGUUAAUCAAAACGGUGAUCAUUCUCUUGCCAAUUGCGAUUAACGCAUGUUUUGUGCUCAAACCUUGUAUGUGUUCGGAACUGUAAUGUUUGCAUUAAGUGAAUCUGCCUUGUGGGAACUCAUUCAGUUUUAGGGCGAUGGGCAUUUUGAAGAAUUACGAGCCUCAAGUGCAGCCAACUGUAUACGCGUAAGUAAUUUAGUUCGCCUUCUGGCGUCUGAUUAGCGAAGUUGGCGGUAUUGUUUUGGUUCUUUAUUUGCACUGAAAAGUUAAAAUGAUGGUCAUACAAAUGUGAGAGCUAAAGGAGCUUAUGACAAAAAUGUUGCGCUCAAGAUUGCGGCGAGAGUUUUGUAGUGAAUAGUGAUGGAGAGUUGGUGCCCGUCAAACCCGGAUAUAGAGGAGUGAGGAUGUUGUUAAGAUGACUGCUACUUAAGAUGACUGCCGAUUUUGGGUUCAUAACAUGUGGCAGAUGUGACAUAUACCUAACAAGAAAUAAAGGCUGAAGCACACUUUCCUGACUGUGGAAAGAGUAGGUGUCAGGCUUAACGGAUGACCAGGGACUAUUUAUACUAGGGUUAUGUUUUGAAUUGAACCAUGCCAACCAUCUAAA